CCUACGGGUGGCUGCAGUGGGGAAUAUUGCACAAUGGGCGCAAGCCUGAUGCAGCCAUGCCGCGUGUGUGAAGAAGGCCUUCGGGUUGUAAAGCACCUUCAGCGGGGAGGAAGGCGGUGAGGUUAAUAACCUCAUCGAUUGACGUUACCCGCAGAAGAAGCACCGGCUAACUCCGUGCCAGCAGCCGCGGUAAUACGGAGGGUGCAAGCGUUAAUCGGAAUUACUGGGCGUAAAGCGCACGCAGGCGGUCUGUCAAGUCGGAUGUGAAAUCCCCGGGCUCAACCUGGGAACUGCAUUCGAAACUGGCAGGCUAGAGUCUUGUAGAGGGGGGUAGAAUUCCAGGUGUAGCGGUGAAAUGCGUAGAGAUCUGGAGGAAUACCGGUGGCGAAGGCGGCCCCCUGGACAAAGACUGACGCUCAGGUGCGAAAGCGUGGGGAGCAAACAGGAUUAGAUACCCUUGUAGUC
rnacentral:rRNA from 1 species